GCACCUGCUGCUUUCCUGUUCCUCGCUGUGCGGUGCAGGUCUGGGGGCACCCGGUGCUACAGCACAGCAGUGGAAAUCCAGAUGGGUUCUUCUCCACUGGUUUGGGACUUAUCUCUACACCCCUGCAACACCA
ensembl:snoRNA